rnacentral:rRNA from 1 species
AGGGUUUGAUCAUGGCUCAGAACGUACGCUGGCGGCACGCCUAACACAUGCAAGUCGAACGAAGUAGCAAUACUUAGUGGCAGACGGGUGAGUAACAUGUAGGUAUCUACCCUUUGGCCUGGAAUAACACGAGGAAACUUGUGCUAAUACCGGAUAAGUCUUUACGGAGAAAGCUUUAUGCACCAUUGGAUGAGCCUGCACUUGAUUAGUUUGUUGGUGGGGUAAUGGCCUACCAAGACUGUGAUCAAUAGCUGAUUUGAGAGGAUGAUCAGCCACAUUGGGACUGAGACACGGCCCAAACUCCUACGGGAGGCAGCAGUGGGGAAUCUUGCACAAUGGGGGAAACCCUGAUGCAGCGAUGCCGCGUGAGUGAAGAAGGCCUUUGGGUUGUAAAGCUCUUUCGUCGGGGAAGAAAAUGACUGUACCCGAAUAAGAAGGUCCGGCUAACUUCGUGCCAGCAGCCGCGGUAAUACGAAGGGACCUAGCGUAGUUCGGAAUUACUGGGCUUAAAGAGUUCGUAGGUGGUUGAAAAAGUUGGUGGUGAAAUCCCAGAGCUUAACUCUGGAACUGCCAUCAAAACUUUUUAGCUAGAGUAUGAUAGAGGAAAGCAGAAUUUCUAGUGUAGAGGUGAAAUUCGUAGAUAUUAGAAAGAAUACCAAUUGCGAAGGCAGCUUUCUGGAUCAUUACUGACACUGAGGAACGAAAGCAUGGGUAGCGAAGAGGAUUAGAUACCCUCGUAGUCCAUGCCGUAAACGAUGUGUGUUAGACGUUGGAAAUUUAUUUUCAGUGUCGCAGCGAAAGCGAUAAACACACCGCCUGGGGAGUACGACCGCAAGGUUAAAACUCAAAUGAAUUGACGGGGACCCGCACAAGUAGUGGAGCAUGUGGUUUAAUUCGAAGAUACGCGCAGAACCUUACCAACACUUGACAUGUUCGUCGCGACUUUAAGAGAUUAAAGUUUUCGGUUCGGCCGGACGAAACACAGGUGCUGCAUGGCUGUCGUCAGCUCGUGUCGUGAGAUGUUGGGUUAAGUCCCGCAACGAGCGCAACCCUCACUUUUAGUUGCCAUCAUUAAGUUGGGCACUCUGAAAGAACUGCCAGUGAUAAGCUGGAGGAAGGUGGGGAUGACGUCAAGUCCUCAUGGCCCUUACGUGUUGGGCUACACACGUGCUACAAUGGUAUAUACAACAGGAAGCAAGACGGCGACGUUAAGCAAAUCCUCAAAAGAUACCUCAGUUCGGAUUGCACUCUGCAACUCGAGUGCAUGAAGCUGGAAUUACUAGUAAUCGUGGAUCAGCGUGCCACGGUGAAUGCGUUCCCGGGUCUUGUACACACCGCCCGUCACACCAUGGGAGUUGGUUCUACCUUAAG